UGGUCCAGGUGCUGCAACAGAGGCAGGGAGAUCCAUGUAUCGUUUUGGAGUAGUUUACCAGGAGAUGCUUUUCCAAUUCAGAUGGACGCUGACCACAGAUACUCUUCCAGUCGGUUGUUGCGGGUGUGGUUCAAAGAGCCAUGGGGGAGAUCCAAAGGGUAAAGGACAAGAACCAAUCCCUGAGGUGAAUUUUAUUGUUCUGCUUCACUCUGUUAAAGACUUCGAUUGAAUACAGGUGUGGCGAAUAGAGCUGGGUUUGUCCAAAGUUGCGCCCUUUAUGGUCAUUUAGAAUAUUGCCUCCAAUGGUCAUUACAAUGCCAGUAAUUAAUAACAUGCUGAAAAAAGCCUGUACUCCUCAUUCUUGGAAUAUGGCUAU